rnacentral:tRNA from 1 species
GGCUUUGAAGUAUAUACUACGUUGAAUUGCAAAUUCAGAGAAGCAGCUAAGUGGCUGCCGAGGCUU